AAAAAACGAAAAGAAGUUCAAAACUGUGAUGACCUUUACCUGUUCUUCUUUUCUUGGUAGUUUCGCUUGACUUCACAUUGCCGUUGAUCGAAGCUCACAUGAAAAACUGUGAUCAGUGCGCACCUUCUUCAUUUCAUCAGCAAUCAAACAAUAACUCAGGUUCAAUAUUGGCCACCCAAUUGAGAGCUUCUUCCUCAUUCUCUUCUGUUCCUUUUUCCACCAGUUCAUACACACACGAUGUGUUUCUGAGUUUCAGAGGCGAGGAUACUCGCUACGGUUUCACAGGUCAUCUGAACAGGUAUUUGGUUCAUAGGGGGAUCAACACUUUCAUAGAUGAUGAACUUACAAGAGGAGAAGAAAUAUCAGAAGCACUUCUCCAAGCAAUUGAAGUAUCAAAGCUCUCUCUCGUUGUGUUCUCUGAAAACUAUGCAUCCUCCAAGUGGUGUUUGGAUGAACUGGUUCAUAUCCUUGAAUGUAGAAGAUCAAAGAACCAAAUGGUUCGGCCAAUCUUUUACAAAGUAAAUCCCUCCGAUGUAAGACACCAAAGAGGUAAAUUUGGUGAGGCACUUGCAGAGCAUGAACGCAUAUUCGAAGGUGAAAUGGACAAGGUGUUGAGAUGGAGAGCAGCUCUUUCAGAAGCAGCAAAUUUGACUGGGUGGCCUUUCUCGCAGGGGCAUGAAUAUGAAUCUAAAUUUAUUGAUAUAAUUGUUGAAGAGGUUUCUGCACAACUAAAAGAACGUACCAAUUUGGAUGUGGCAAAGUGUCCAGUUGGGAUAGACUCUCGGGUACAAGACAUGCUUGAAAUUUUAGAUGUUGGGGGAAGUGAUGUACGCAUGGUAGGGAUAUGGGGAAUUGGUGGAAUAGGGAAGACAACAAUUGCUAAAGCUGUUUACAAUACAAUUGCCCAUAAGUUUGAAUGUCACUGCUUUUUGGAAAAUGUUAGAGGAGGUUCAGAGCAACAUGGAGGUUUAGUCAACCUACAAAACAUUAUUCUUUCAGAGAUUCUAGGGGGCAAAGAACUGAUAGUAAUCAAUGUUGAUAAAGGAAUCAAUUUGUUGCGUCAAAGGUUGAGAAAUAAAAGGAUUCUGUUAAUUCUUGAUGAUGUGAAUAAAUCGGACCAGUUAGACGCAUUAACCGGAGCUCCAGAUUGGUUUGGUCGUGGCAGCAGAAUUAUCAUAACAACAAGAGAUAAGCGUUUGCUGACUGUUCACGAAGUCAAUCCUAUAUACAAGGUCAGGGAACUAGAUCAUCACGAAGGUUGUGAGCUCUUCAGGUUAAAUGCCUUCAAGAAAAAAGGAAAUCAUGAUGACGAUGAGAAACUCUGGAUUAGCACCAUUGUUAGAUAUGCUCAUGGCCUUCCGUUAGCCCUGGUAGUUUUGGGUUCACAUCUAUGUGGUAGACGUAUACAUGAAUGGCAUGCUAUGUUAGAUGGUUAUAAAAGAAAUCUUCCCAAAGACAUUCGAGAUAUUCUCAAAGUCAGUUAUGAUGGACUGGAAGAAAUAGUGAAAGAAGUUUUCCUCGACAUUGCUUGUUUCUUCAGAGGUUGGAAUACAAAAAAUGUGAUACAAAUAUUAGAAGGUUGCGACCGCAACAACCCCAAGCAUAGUAUUGAAGUUCUUGAAGAAAAGGCGCUCAUAAAUGUUGAUGGAUAUGGUCGUAUUUGCAUGCAUGAUUUGCUAGAUGAGAUGGGAAAAUAUAUAGUUCAGCAAGAGUCUACAGAGCCCGGUAAGCGAAGCAGAUUAUGGCAUCACAAGGAUGUGCAGGAGGUUCUAACAGAAAACACAGGAACAAGUAAAAUUGAAGGCAUGAUGAUAAAGAUGUCCAAAGAAGAUGAGAAAUGCCUGAGUCCUAAAUGCUUCAAAAAGAUGAAAAAUCUUAAAAUUUUUAUAAAUGUCAAUGGACAAUUUUGUGGAAAGGUUGAUUAUUAUCCGAAUAAGUUGCGGUUACUUGAUUGGUCUAGCUGUCCACUACAAUCUUUGCCCUCCGAUUUUAAUAUGAAGAAUCUGGUUCAACUUAGUAUGCCUUGCAGCCACAUCUCACGUUUUGGAGAAGGAUCCAAGAAUAUGCAAAAUCUGAAAUCCUUAAAUUUGGGGAUAUGUAAAUUCCUAGUACAAAGCCCAGACCUGUCUGGAAGCCCAAAGUUAGAGUUCCUGGAUCUAAGUAGGUGUGAAAGGUUAAAGGAGGUUCACUCUUCGGUUGGAUCCCUCGAAAAGCUUGUUCACCUGAAUCUUCAGCAUUGCUAUAAGCUUGAGAGGCUACCUGAAAAAGUCAACUGGAGAUCCCUGAAAGACAUUAAUCUUGACCAUUGCAUGAGGCUGGAGAGUUUCCCUGAAAUUGUGGGAGAGAUGAAAUACAUGACAUCCUUGUAUCUAUGGGGCACUGGCAUCAAAGCAUUGCCUUCAUCCAUUGGAUAUCUAAUCAACCUUGAAAGGUUGGAGUUACGAUUUUGUGGAAACCUCACAGAUCUACCUUGCAGCAUUUAUGAAUUGCAAAAUUUGAAGGACGUUGGUUUGUACGACUGCCCAAAACUCGUAAGAUUCCCAAAAAAGUUGGACUCUGAAGUGCUUCCAACUUACUCAAAGGUUUCACAUGACAACCGUGACUCUUUAUCGAAAAGAAAGAGAUGGCGUGCAGGCAGUUCAUUGGAGCCAGAGCCAGACACUGAAUUCAAUUCGGCGCUUCCUUGGCUACAUCGAUUCCGUGCGAGCCGAUGCAAUUUAUCUAAUAUUGAUUUCCUCGCGUCCCUUGAUUGUGCAUCCACUUUAGAUAUACUUGAUUUAAGAGGAAGCCCCAUUGUUAUUCUUCCCGAAUGCAUCAACAAAUUUGUCAAGUUGAGGGAACUCAAUUUGAGAGGCUGCAGGAGGCUCGUAGAAAUUCCAAAGCUUCGACCAAGUAUUAGCCGGUUGUUGUUGAGGGAUUGUGUAUCAUUGGAACGAAUUUUGAAGUUGUCAAACAUUUUGGAACGUAAAGAAUCACAAAUAAUGAUUGAGGAGAUGGACUUGACUAAUUGCUGGAGACUCUGUCAAAAUUUGGUUGAGAUGGCAAACGAGGAUGAUGAUGAGGUGGACGCUGAUCUCUUCUCUCGACUCCUAUCUUCUCAGCAAUUCAAAUUCAGAAUUACAUUUCCAGUUCCAAGAAGCGAGGUUCCAAAGUGGUUCAAUUGUCAAAUGGAUUUCAUGGGGCAUCGACGGUUUGAAUUUUGUAUUGAAACACUUGCAAAUUUCAAAUGGGAGAACACAGGAUUGGCUCUCUGUGUUGCUGUUGAUCAAAAGCUGCAACAUACUGAAUUUGAGGUCCAUAUUCACAUCAAUGAAGUACGUGUUUCAAAUCUCCACACACAGCGAGUUGAAUCAGCAGAGUCAAAUCAUGUGUGGCUGCACUAUGUUCCAUUCCAUGAAAUGUGGCGACUUGGUUGUAUGCAUCCAUUGCCCCCUUUUACAUGUCGAGUCAUUAUUUAUCCUUCUUAUCCUUCGGCGAACCCCUUCAAAAGCUGUGGGGUCCACCUUGUAAUGCCACCCAAUGAAGACGUUUGUAUGAAGCUAAUCCGUUCUCACCAGUGCGAUUUCUAAUGAUGAUGUUUAUAAGGACUUCUGGGACAAUUAUCGUCCCAAACAGAGGACUAACUGCAAAGAAUUAUAUACUGAUGCACAACUGGAGAACGAAAAGCUGUAAUUAUUACUGAUGCAGCAUAGCAUUGUCUACGGACCAGUGUGACGAAUACAGGGAAUGCCCUGAGGAAUGUGUUGGAAAGUAGAGCAAAAUUAGCAUCUUGUAUAGCUGUUAACAUUUAACACAUUCACUCUAUAUCAUCACAUUGAUUCUAUAUUAUUAGACAUUAAUAGGGCUAGAAUAGCUUUCUUGUUUUGUAUCCUAGAAUCAAGCUGUAUUAUUGUAUAUAUGUGCUACAGAUCAAUAGAGCAAUUAUCUCUCCAGCAAAUCUGUCUUUGUUGUUUUACAUGGUAUCAGAGCAGGACUCACAAUCCUGACUCUUCUCUAGCCUUCCUAGCAACAAAUUCACAAAAGCCAUAAUCACCAUGGCUGGUGAUAACGUCCCAUUACCACCACCCAAUUCCAGCAAGUCAAAUAAUCCAACAUCUGAUAUCUCAAAUCCAUUCUUCACUCACCAUUCCGAUCAUCCUGGAUUGGUCUUAGUCUCCAAACCAUUGAAUGGAGACAAUUACACAGGUUGGAAGAGGGCUAUGACAAUGGCUCUCAAUUCUAAAAACAAGCUCGGUUUUGUGAAUGGUACGUUCAAUCAAAGUUCCAUCACCCGAAGCUGACCCAGAAGAAUAUGCAACCUGGUCAAGAUGCAAUGACAUGGUCCAUUCAUGGAUCGUUAACACAGUCAAUUCUGAAAUUGCUGACAGUAUCAUCUACUAUCCUACAGCUCAUGAGGUAUGGGAAGAUCUAAGUGAGCGUUUUUCACAAGGCAAUGCACCUCGCAUAUUUGAAAUUCAGCGAGACAUCGCUUCACUCAGGCAAGAACAACAAUCAGUUUCUGCAUACUACACGAAACUGAAAAGUUUGUGGGAUGAAUUGGCAUCCUAUUCAGAAGCAUCACAAGGAGCACAGGCAGAUCAACAAAAGCUCAUGCAAUUCUAGAUGGGAUUAAAUGAGACUUACAGUGCAACCCGCGGUCAAAUCCUCUUGAUGAAUCCCCUUCCAAGUGUCAGACAAGCAUAUGUUGCAGUUGCACAAGAAGAAAAACAAAGUUUCGUUGCAGCGGCGGAGUCCAGUUCAAGCACCGCCGCCAUGGCUGUCCGGAGUGGCGGCCGGCCGAACCAGAUCGGCAGCAGAGGAGGUCGUGGUGACCGACCGAAUCUUCAGACCGGACGAGAUGCCGAACGCGGCUUCACCGCGCGUUUUGGUUCAGAUCGAGGAAGGGGAAGGUCGCACUGUACCUAUUGUGGUGAUCCAGGACAUUGGGUCCAAACAUGUUUUCACCUAAUUGGUUUUCCUCCAGGUCAUCCCAAAGCAAAACAAGGAUCGGGAAAUUUCCCCAAGAAGCACACUGCCACACCAGUCGCGCCCUCUCCUUCUGCUAACCAGGUUCAUGCGACAGGCAUCGUAGAAGAGGAGAGUGGAUAAGCAAUUACUUUAUCUGAGGCCCAAUUCACACAGUUUUUAGCUGCUCUCCAACAAGCCCAAAAGCCCAAUCCAAAUACUGACUCGAGCUCUAAGGCAAAUGCAGUAACGCAACCAGGAUCUGGCUACGAAGAGGACGAUUGGUUUGGGUAAAGAACGUGAUGGGCUAUACUAUUUGGUGGCACUAGCGACGGAACGAACCAGGCCUUCCAUUACCACUCCUUC